GAUGAACGCUGGCGGCGUGCCUAAUACAUGCAAGUCGAGCGAACGGACGAGAAGCUUGCUUCUCUGAUGUUAGCGGCGGACGGGUGAGUAACACGUGGAUAACCUACCUAUAAGACUGGGAUAACUUCGGGAAACCGGAGCUAAUACCGGAUGAUAUUUUGAACCGCAUGGUUCAAAAGUGAAAGACGGUCUUGCUGUCACUUAUAGAUGGAUCCGCGCUGCAUUAGCUAGUUGGUAAGGUAACGGCUUACCAAGGCAACGAUGCAUAGCCGACCUGAGAGGGUGAUCGGCCACACUGGAACUGAGACACGGUCCAGACUCCUACGGGAGGCAGGAGUAGGGAAUCUUCCGCAAUGGGCGAAAGCCUGACGGAGCAACGCCGCGUGAGUGAUGAAGGUCUUCGGAUCGUAAAACUCUGUUAUUAGGGAAGAACAUAUGUGUAAGUAACUGUGCACAUCUUGACGGUACCUAAUCAGAAAGCCACGGCUAACUACGUG
rnacentral:rRNA from 1 species